rnacentral:misc_RNA from 1 species
GAUGAAGAACGUAGCGAAAUGCGAUAAGUAAUGCGAAUUGCAGAAUUCAGUGAAUCAUCGAAUCUUUGAACGCACAUUGCGCCCCCUGGCAUUCCGGGGGGCAUGCCUGUCCGAGCGUCAUUUCUGCCCUCCAGCCCGGCUGGGUGUUGGGCGCUGUCCCCCCGGGGACACGCCCCAAAGGCAGUGGCGGCGCCGCGUCGGGUCCUCGAGCGUAUGGGGCUUUGUCACCCGCUCGGGACGGACUCGUCGGCGCUGGUCUUCCUCCAGGCGACCCUUCGGGGCUCGUCUUCCUUCGGUUGACCUCGGAUCAGGUAGGGUUACCCGCUGAACUUAAGCAUAUCAAUAAGCGGAGGA